rnacentral:rRNA from 1 species
CCUCAUUGAUCCUGCUAGUAGUCAUAUGGAUGUUUCAAAGAUUAAGCCAUGCAUUUAUAAUUAUAAACUAAUUUAGACUGUGAAACUAUGAAUAGCUCAUUAAAUCAGUUUUAAUUUGUUUAAUGGUAUCACUACUCAGAUAACUAUAGUAAUUCUAAGCUAAUAUGUGCAAAAACCCCGACUUCUAAAAAGGAUGCAAUUAUUAGAUAAAAGGUCGAUGUGGGCUUUGCCCAUUGUUUUGAUGAUUCAUGAUAACUCGAUGGAUUACAAGGCCUUUUGUGCUGAUGGCACAUCAUUCAAAUUUCUACCUUAUCAAUUUUUAAUGGUAGGAUAGUGGCUUACUAUGGUGGUGACAGGUGAUGGAGAACUAGGGUUUGAUUCUAGAGAGGGAGCCUAAAAAAUUGCUACCACAUCUAAAGAAGGCAAUAGGCACAUAAAUUACCCAAUCAUGACAUAGGAAGGUAGCGAUAAUAAAUAGCAAUACCAAGCUCUAUGAGUCUAGUAAUUGGAAUGAGUACAAUCUAAAUCCCUUAAUGAGGACCCAUUGGAGGGUAAGUCUAAUGCUAGUGGCCUUAGUAUUUCCAACUCCAAUAGCAUAUAUUUAAGUUGUUAUAGUUAAAAAGCUCAUAGUUGGAACUAGGAUUGGGUCAUCCAGUCUACCUCAUGGUGAUCAUUAGUCUACUCAUCCCUACCAUCAGUAAUGAGCUUUCAGCCUUAAGUAGCUGGGUUAUUCAUCUAGCACUAUUACUUUGGGGAAAUUAGAGUGCUCAAAGUGGGUCUAUACUUGUAUACAUUAGCAUGGGAUAACAUCAUAGGAUUUCAAUCCUAUUGUGUUGACCUUUGGGAACAGAGUAAUGAUUAAUAGGGAUAGUCAGGGGCAUUCAUGUAUCAUUAUCAGAGGCAAAAUUUUUGGAUUUAUGAAAGAUGAACAAUUGCAAAAGCAUUUGCUAAUGAUGUUUUCAUUAAUCAAGAAUGAAAGUUGGGGGCUCGAAGACAAUCAAAUAUCAUCCUAGUUUCAACCAUAAAUGUGCCAACUAAAGAUCGACAAAUGUUACUUAUAGGAUUUCAUUGGCUCUUUAUGAGAAAUCAAAGUCUUUAGGUUAUGUUGGGAGUAUGGUCACAAUGCUAAAAAUUAAAAGAAUUGAUGGAAGGGCACCACUAAGAAUGGAAACUACAGCUUAAUUUGACUUAACAUGGGGAAACUUACGGGGUCUAAACAUAGUAAGGAUUGAUAGACUGAGAGCUCUUUCUUGAUUCUAUGGGUGGUGGUGCAUGGCCAUUCUUAGUUGGUGGAGCUAUUUGUCUAGUUAAUUCCAUUAAGGAAUAAGGCCUCAACUUGCUAGCUAGCUACACAAAGGUGAUCUUUUAUGGCUAGCUUAUUAGAGGGACUAUGGUCAUUUAGGCCUAAGAAGUUUGAAGGAAUGACAGGUCUAUGAUGCCCUUAGAUGUUUUGAGCUAUACGUUUGCUACACUGAUGUAUUCAACAAGUAUAUAGCCUUGGCCAAUAGGCCCAAGUAAUGUUUGAAAUUUCAACAUGAUAGGGAUAGAUCAUCAUAAUUGUUGGUCUUCAAUGAGGAAUUCCUAGUAAGUGCGAGUCAUUAGCUCACAUUGACUACAUUCUUGCCCUUUGUACACACCACUUGUCACUCAUACCAAUUGAAUGGUCUAUUGUAGUGUUUAGAUCGUGACAACAUGGAUAGUUCACUACCCAUGACAUCACAAGAAGUCAAUUGAACCUCAGCAUUUAGAGGAAGGAGAAGUCGUAACAAGGUUUCUAUAGGUGAACCAACAGAAG